rnacentral:rRNA from 2 species
GACUCUCGGCAAUGAAUAUCUCGGCUCUCGCAUCGAUGAAGAACGUAGCAAAAUGUGAUACCUGAUGUGAAUUGCAAAAUCCCGCGAACCAUCAAGUCUUUGAACGCAAGUUGCGCCCGAGGCCACUCGGCCGAGGGCCGUUUUUCUUCUUUUCC